UCUCUCAUUCUCUUCUCCAACAAAAAAUUACAGCAAAGAAACACCAUUUUCGGAGCUUCAACACUCGGCCAUAUCUCCCUUGCAUGUAGGUGCGUUUUUGUCCCAUUUUUGUUGAUUUUUAUGUUUUGGGAUCGUUGUAGCUUAACCUAGUUAAUUAGGGGACUAAUUUGCAAAACUAUGGAAUAGUUUGAGAUUUUCCAUUGAUGAAAAUGUUAGGGUUUUGAAGUUUAAUGGAAGAAAAUGAAUCUUUGUUGUUAGUUAAAUAUUUUUUGUUAAGUGAUUUUUAAUGAAAUUAUCAAUUAGGGGUUAAAUUGAGAAAUAUAAAAAUUUUGGGUUAAAUGUGCUAAAUUGUGAAAUGUAUGAGCUUCUUUGAGCAUAUAUAAUUUUCAGCUAGGCUUGGGUGCAGUGAAAUUUCAGGAAUUUUUAUUUUACGAGCUUAAAAACUAAAUUGUAAAAAGGUCAAAAGUAUAGGGGAAAAAUGUUAAUUUUGUCAUAAUAUGAAAAUUUAUUGAAUUGAGUAGAAUAAUGAUUAAAUGAGUUAAAUUUGAUUAUAUAGAUCAAGAAAAAUGACGUAUGGAAUUAGAUAGAGGAAAAGACAAAGUUAUCGAUUAAACGAUCGUUUUUCGUCGUACGAGUUCGAGGUAAGUUCGUAUGUUAAUAAGCACUAUUAUCAUUGAGAUUUAGUGCUUUAUAUUUGAAUUGUUGAAGGAUACAAUUGUACAGAAGUAUUUGACGGAAAUUCGGGCCAUGAUAUUAUCACUUCGGGUGCGAGUCAUAUUGAUUUGGCUUCGGGCCAUGAUAUUAGCACUUCGGGUACGAAUUAAAUUGAUUUGGCUUCGGGCCAUGAUAUUAGCACUUCGGGUGCAAGUCAUGUUGAUUUGACUUCGGCCAUGAUAUUAUUACUUUGGGUGCGAGUUAUAUUGAUUUGGCUUCGGGCCAUGAUAUUAGCACUUCGGGUGCGAGUUAUAUUGAUUUAGCUUCGGGCCAUGAUAUUAGCACUUUGGGUGCGAGUCAUAUUGAUUUGGCUUCUGGCCAUGAUAUUAGCACUUCGGGUGCGAGUUAUGUUGAUUUGGCUUCGGGCCAUGAUAUUAGCACUUGGAGUGCGAGAUACAUUGAGUUGGUUUCGGGCCAUGAUAUGGGCACUUAGGAUGCGAGACUCCCGAAUAUCCGAUUUCUAUUCCAAAUGGUUCAACGGUAAAUUAAAUAUGUGAAAUGGUGAAAAAUAAAUACGCAUCAAUACAGGUAUGUACGGAAGGCUAUACGAUCAUUGGAACUAAGGAAGUUGUGAACAUUAUGAGAAAUUAUGUGAUUGAAUUUAUGUUAACCUUGUUAUUAAUUUGUUGGUGAAUAUCAUAUUCAUAUUAUUUGAAUGGUAUAUAUAUUUAUGACAUAUGAAUACAUGAUGAACUUAGUUGUGGUUAAAUUCAUAUAAAUAGAAGGAAAGAUAGACAAAUGCCUUAAUUAGAAUUGCUAUCAAAGCAUGGAAAAUAGUAUGAGUUAUUAGAUGGUAAAAAUAUGCUUAUACACAUGCCUGAAAAUGUGAAUGCACUAAGAAGUGUGUACUUAUGCUAUGUUGUUUUGAGAUGGGUUACUAAUUUAUGUGAUAAUUAAAAUUGAAAGGUUAAUGUUGUUUAGACCAAGGCCAAGAUAUAUUGAAUUGACUAAAGUGAAUUAUGCUUAUAAAUUGAAGUAGUAAGCUUUAUUUUUGAAUUACGAACUUACUAAGUAUUUCAUGCUUACUUUGUGCUAAUUUCUUUGUGUGCUUAGAUAUCGGAAGCUCGUUCGGGUUGGAAGAUGGUGGAGAUUUCAUCACACUAUCUAUCGGCUAUUUUGGUAUUGUGGUUUUAUAAUUUCGGUUAUAAUGGCAUGUAUAGGUCGUUUUGGCUAAUGAUAGCCUACAUGUUUUGUUAUGUUUUUUGUCAUUUGAUUUGGCUUGUAUCUGAGAUAUUAUUAUGCAUGUUAUUUGUGUAAAUGGCUUUAUUAUAUUCAGUCGCGGUUGUGAAGUGGUGUUUCGAUAUCAAAUGGUUGAAUUUGAUAAGUGACAUACAUGCUAAGUUUUAGGCACAAUGAGGCAUAUUUGUUUUUGAUCAUUUAGGUAUAUUUUGGAAAGCAUAAUUGGUAUGUGUUAAAGUGGUCAAUGGAUGUGAUUAUGAGUAUCAUGUUGUAUGUGUGAAAGUAAAUGUUAUAAACUUGAGAUUGGUUGAUUUUGAGUGCCUAUUUAUGCCAUGGCUAUAUGCAAAUUGAUGUGUAUAGGUUGGUACCAAUGUGGGUGAGGUAUAUGACUUGGAAAAAUAUCCUAUUUUUGUCUACAUGGGCAGAGACGUGGGCGUGUGUCUUAGCCGUGUGUGACACACGGCCAGGCGACACGGCCGUGUGUCCCCUGAUGCUUAUUUAGAAACCAAGUCAGUAGCUUCACAUGGCCUAGCACACGGGCAUGUAGCUUGGCCGUGUGGUACAAGUCAGUAUACCCUCCAAUUUCCACACAAUCUAGUAUACGACUUGGUACAUGGGCGUGUAAGGCCAUUUCGAGUGGCACACAGCCUGACACACAGGCAUGUGGUCUUGCCGUGUGACCCAAGUCAAAGAGUUACACGGGGUAGGACACGGGUUGAGACACGACUAUGUGAUCCCAUUUCGAAUGCCCACACGGCCUGAGACAUGGGCGUGUGACUCCUGUACUUCGAAAAAUUUCUAAGUUUUCCUAAAGUUAUUGGUUUAGUCUUGAACCAUUUUUAAUGCAUGUUUUAGGCCUUGGAGGUUCGUAUUAGGGACAAUAUGAUGGAAUGUGAAUAAUUUUUAUUUGGUUUGAGAAUUGUGAUUGAAAUGUAUUACUAUUUGAGAUAUAAGUCCGGUAACACCUCGUGACCCUGUUCCAGUGUCGGAUACAGGUUAGGGGUGUUUUAGUGAUACUUAUAUUAAAAAAAAAAGAGAGAGGAUAAAUUAACAUUUAGAGUAUGUUUGAUAAACUAAAAAAGUUACAGGUACUAAAAAACUAAAGUACUAAAUUUUCUAAGUACUGAGUUCAUAUUAUAAAAUUGUUUGAUAUAUUAGGUGUUGAUAAAUUGAAAAAUUAAUUAUUAAUUUUUAAAAAAAAAUCAAAUACUGAAUUUAAAUUAUAAAAUUUAUUUGGUAUAUUAAUUAAAAUUAAGUACACGAUAGUAAAAAUAAGCACCGAAUAUAAUUAUUUUAUUUGAUAAUAAUAAAUCUUGCUUUUUGAAAAUUCAUUAUUUCAAUCUUAUUAAUAUAGUAUAAUAUUUUUUAGUUGGAAUAGUUUAAGAUAAAAGUUAAAAAUAAAAUUUGACUAUUUUAAUUUUUAAUAAAAUGAUCGAGAAUAAAAUUUUGAAAAAUUACUUAUCAUAAUCAACACUUUUUAUUUAGAGAAUUUUAUUAUCAUACACAAUUAAAUAUUAAAUGUUGAAAAUUUCUAUUUUGUGUAAAAUAAAAAUUUUCAAUGGUUUAUUAAAUAUACCCUUAGCCAUUAAACUUGAAAAAAUUUAUUAACCUGCACUUCUUUUGUGUCAAUGCAGCUUGUCCUACUAACCCAACAUUCCACCAUCGUCACAAUUCUAUCAAUUUACUCCAUAGUGUUCCAGAAAAGAAGUCAGUGACUGGAUAACGUUGAACUGCAAAGCUGAAGCGCUU
rnacentral:lncRNA from 1 species